rnacentral:rRNA from 1 species
AGGUAAGCUACUAAGAGCGAAUGGUGGAUGCCUUGACUGGUAAAGGCGAUGAAGGACGUACUAGACUGCGAUAAGCUACGGGGAGCUGUCAAGAAGCUUUGAUCCGUAGAUUUCCGAAUGGGGCAACCCAAUGUAUAGAGAUAUACAUUACCUAUAUAGGAGCGAACGAGGGGAAUUGAAACAUCUUAGUACCCUCAGGAAAAGAAAUCAAUAGAGAUUGCGUCAGUAGCGGCGAGCGAAAGCGCAAGAGGGCAAACCCAGUGCUUGCACUGGGGGUUGUAGGACUGCAAUGUGCAAGAGCUGAGUUUAGCAGAACAUUCUGGAAAGUAUAGCCAUAGAGGGUGAUAGUCCCGUAUGCGAAAAACAAAGCUUAGCUAGCAGUAUCCUGAGUAGGGCGGGACACGAGGAAUCCUGUCUGAAUCCGGGUCGACCACGAUCCAACCCUAAAUACUAAUACCAGAUCGAUAGUGCACAAGUACCGUGAGGGAAAGGUGAAAAGAACUGAGGUGAUCAGAGUGAAAUAGAACCUGAAACCAUUUGCUUACAAUCAUUCAGAGCACUAUGUAGCAAUACAGUGUGAUGGACUGCCUUUUGCAUAAUGAGCCUGCGAGUUGUGGUGUCUGGCAAGGUUAAGCAAACGCGAAGCCGUAGCGAAAGCGAGUCUGAAUAGGGCGCUUAGUCAGAUGCUGCAGACCCGAAACGAAGUGAUCUAUCCAUGAGCAAGUUGAAGCUAGUGUAAGAACUAGUGGAGGACUGAACCCAUAGGCGUUGAAAAGCCCCGGGAUGACUUGUGGAUAGGGGUGAAAGGCCAAUCAAACUUCGUGAUAGCUGGUUCUCUCCGAAAUAUAUUUAGGUAUAGCGUUGUGUCGUAAUAUAAGGGGGUAGAGCACUGAAUGGGCUAGGGCAUACACCAAUGUACCAAACCCUAUCAAACUCCGAAUACCUUAUAUGUAAUCACAGCAGUCAGGCGGCGAGUGAUAAAAUCCGUCGUCAAGAGGGAAACAACCCAGACUACCAGCUAAGGUCCCUAAAUCUUACUUAAGUGGAAAACGAUGUGAAGUUACUUAAACAACCAGGAGGUUGGCUUAGAAGCAGCCAUCCUUUAAAGAAAGCGUAAUAGCUCACUGGUCUAGUGAUUUUGCGCGGAAAAUAUAACGGGGCUAAAGUAAGUACCGAAGCUGUAGACUUGCGCACAACUUAGAUUAUUUAAGUUUAGAAUAUGAGAAACUAAGUUAUAUUUUUACUGAUUUUUAUAGAGUAAAGAUAGAAAUAAAACUUAGUAAAAUCAGUAAAAAUAUUCUUAGGCUAAAGUUAAGUAGUUUAAGUUGUGUGCAAGUGGUAGGAGAGCGUUCUAUUUGCGUCGAAGGUAUACCGGUAAGGAGUGCUGGAGCGAAUAGAAGUGAGCAUGCAGGCAUGAGUAGCGAUAAUUAAUGUGAGAAUCAUUAACGCCGUAAACCCAAGGUUUCCUACGCGAUGCUCGUCAUCGUAGGGUUAGUCGGGUCCUAAGUCGAGUCCGAAAGGGGUAGACGAUGGCAAAUUGGUUAAUAUUCCAAUACCAACAUUAGUGUGCGAUGGAAGGACGCUUAGGGCUAAGGGGGCUAGCGGAUGGAAGUGCUAGUCUAAGGUCGUAGGAGGUUAUACAGGCAAAUCCGUAUAACAAUACUCCGAGAACUGAAAGGCUUUUUGAAGUCUUCGGAUGGAUAGAAGAACCCCUGAUGCCGUCGAGCCAAGAAAAGUUUCUAAGUUUAGCUAAUGUUGCCCGUACCGUAAACCGACACAGGUGGGUGGGAUGAGUAUUCUAAGGCGCGUGGAAGAACUCUCUUUAAGGAACUCUGCAAAAUAGCACCGUAUCUUCGGUAUAAGGUGUGGUUAGCUUCGUACUAGGAUUUACUCCGAAAGCGAAGAAACUUACAACAAAGAGUCCCUCCCGACUGUUUACCAAAAACACAGCACUCUGCUAACUCGUAAGAGGAUGUAUAGGGUGUGACGCCUGCCCGGUGCUCGAAGGUUAAUUGAUGGGGUUAGCAUUAGCGAAGCUCUUGAUCGAAGCCCGAGUAAACGGCGGCCGUAACUAUAACGGUCCUAAGGUAGCGAAAUUCCUUGUCGGUUAAAUACCGACCUGCAUGAAUGGCGUAACGAGAUGGGAGCUGUCUCAAAGAGGGAUCCAGUGAAAUUGUAGUGGAGGUGAAAAUUCCUCCUACCCGCGGCAAGACGGAAAGACCCCGUGGACCUUUACUACAGCUUGACACUGCUAUUUGGAUAAGAAUGUGCAGGAUAGGUGGGAGGCUUUGA